ACUCCUACGGGAGGCAGCAGUGGGGAAUAUUGCACAAUGGGCGCAAGCCUGAUGCAGCCAUGCCGCGUGUAUGAAGAAGGCCUUCGGGUUGUAAAGUACUUUCAGCAGUGAGGAAGGUGGUGCAGUUAAUAGCUGUAUCAUUUGACGUUAGCUGCAGAAGAAGCACCGGCUAACUCCGUGCCAGCAGCCGCGGUAAUACGGAGGGUGCGAGCGUUAAUCGGAAUACUGGGCGUAAAGCGCAUGCAGGUGGUUUGUUAAGUCAGAUGUGAAAGCCCGGGGGCUCAACCUCGGAAUUGCAUUUGAAACUGGCAGACUAGAGUACUGUAGAGGGGGGUAGAAUUUCAGGUGUAGCGGUGAAAUGCGUAGAGAUCUGAAGGAUACCGGUGGCGAAGGCGGCCCCCUGGACAGAUACUGACACUCAGAUGCGAAAGCGUGGGGAGCAAACAGGAUUAGAUACCCUGGUAGGAUAGCG
rnacentral:rRNA from 1 species